rnacentral:sRNA from 1 species
CCCAGCGCGACAUCCAUUGAGCGGGGGAAAUGAGAUAAAAUGGCUGUUCCCUUAUUACGCACUGCGUCCCUCUCCUUGAAAACCCUCGUUUGAUCGUGUCCCGCUCCAUACUGCGAGUACUGGUCCUCAUACUCAUGGCCGCCAGCUCGAAGGGACCCCUGGCCGCCGCUGCUCGGCUGGCUGCGUGGAGGCCAGCGAUUGCUCGACGGGGACUCUCUCCAACACCAGCGCAUGCACAUCUGCCUCCCACGUUUGCUGCUGCUGCUGCUGCCCCGAAGAACCGCACUAUACAUACGCAGACUCCUCUCAAUGCUCCCUCCACCAAUGCUGCCAGCGUCAAGCGAACAGCCACGCCAGAACAACAAUCGUACGCAAACCCCCAAGAACAAAACUCCUCCUCGAACCCCGCCCUCUCGUUCCCCUGCCUGGAUGCCCUCGACGCCAAAUCCGCCCUCCUCACCGCACGAUCCGUCGACUCCGGCCCGGAACCCUCCUACACCACCGGCAACCAUGAGGAAUUCAAAUCCACAGACCUCCUCCUCCUCGACUGGGGCGGCGUUCUCCCCGAAUUCACCAUCGCCUACGAAACCUGGGGCACGCUGAAUAGCGACAGAUCCAACGCCAUCCUUCUCCACACCGGCCUCUCCGCCUCCUCGCACGCCCACAGCACCCCCGCAAACCCAAAACCGGGCUGGUGGGAACGCUUCAUCGGCCCCGGCCGCCCCCUUGACACCGACAGAUACUUCGUCAUCUGCACCAACGUCCUUGGCGGCUGCUUUGGCAGCACGGGCCCCUCCUCCAUCGACCCGUCCGACGGCAAACGCUACGCAACCCGCUUCCCCAUCCUCACCUUGGACGACAUGGUGCGCGCCCAGUUCCGCCUGCUCGACGCACUUGGCAUCUCCUCCCUCGCCGCCUCCGUCGGCGCCAGCAUGGGCGGCAUGCAGUCGCUCGCCGCCGGCGUGCUCUUCCCGCACCGCGUGCGCCGCAUCGUCAGCAUCAGCGGCUGCGCCCGCAGCCACCCCUACAGCAUCGCCAUGCGCCACACCCAGCGCCAGGUGCUGAUGAUGGACCCCCGGUGGGCGCGCGGCUUCUACUACGACGCCGUCCCGCCGCACGCCGGCAUGAAGCUAGCCCGCCAGAUCGCCACCGUCACCUACCGCAGCGGGCCCGAGUGGGAGCAGCGCUUCGGCCGCGCGCGCGCUGACCCCUCCAAGCAGCCCGCCCUGUGCCCGGACUUCCUCAUCGAGACCUACCUCGACCACGCCGGCGAGAAGUUCUCGCUCGACUUCGACGCCAACAGCCUGCUGUACGUCUCCAAGGCCAUGGACCUGUUCGACUUGGGCGUCGAGCAGCGGGAGGCCACCGCCGCCCGCCGCACCCAGACCCUCAGCCGCAUCUCUCGCCAGGCACGCGUGCAGAACGACCCGUCCUACGGCCUAACGUGGCCCGCGCAGCCGUACGAGGAGCAGGACCGGGAGCAGCCACAGCAGCAGCCACAGCCGCAGCCGGCGCCGUGCGCAUCGUCCGCACAACAACAGCAUCCGGACACCGAGGCAUCAUGCUCCACCACCACCAC